rnacentral:rRNA from 1 species
UACAGAGGGUGCAAGCGUUGUUCGGAAUUAUUGGGCGUAAAGGGCGCGUAGGCGGUGCUAUAAGUCUGUGGUGAAAUCUCCCGGCUCAACUGGGAGGGUGCGCCGAAAACUGGAAUGCUUGAACAUGGGAGAGGAAAGCGGAAUUCCUGGUGUAGCGGUGAAAUGCGUAGAUAUCAGGAGGAACACCUGCGGUGUAGACGGCUUUCUGGACCAUUGUUGACGCUGAGACACGAAAGCGUGGGUAGCAAACAGG